AAGGUAGAAGAGCUUACAAUCUAUUAGGUAUAAGGGAGGAUACAGAGGGUAGAAGAGCUUACAAUCUAUUAGUAUAUAAGGAAGGAUACAGAAGGUAGAAGAGCUUACAAUCUAUUAGGUAUAAGGGAGGAUACAGAGGGUAGAAGAGCUUACAAUCUAUUAGUAUAUAAGGAAGGAUACACAAGGUAGAAGAGCUUACAAUCUAUUAGGUAUAAGGGAGGAUA